GAGUCCCAAUUUCCAUUCACCAAAGUACAUGGGAGAUCUGAAUUUCCAAGUUAGCAAUUGUCUUUGGUUUUUUUUAUGAGAUGCAAAGAACGUGAAGUUGUGUUUCUGCUGUUUAUUGGUCAGAAACUGAUUGUCUGACUGCAUCAUAGGAGGAGAUGCCCAUCUCUCUGGUUCUUGUUUUACCCUGAGUUCCUGGGCUGCUUGCUGCAGAUCACUGCCUGGCUGCAACGAUGAGGCCAUUCAGGUAUGCUACAGCUCCCUGCCAUGCCCUGUUAGAGUAAAAUUUAUCUUUGUUGUGGGAAGGCUGAACCUUUUCUCACAUUUUAAUAGAAUAGGUAGCAAAUGGGCCAAUUAGCAUGAGCAGGGUGGGAGAGAAACCCUCCCAAAAACUGAACCCAUCGAGCUCAGAGAGGAGAUGCACUGAAAUACAAUGUCACGUUGCACAGCGUUGUCAUCCAGCUGUAACGUGCCACUGAAGGAAAGCUGCAACACAAAGCACGGACAACCAAAGCACCGCUUAAAGUGCCACCCACCAGCCCUAAUCUGCACCCAAUAAAACAUCCUGGUGCAGGAGCAGCCCCACAUCUUCAUGACAACGUUGCUCAGUAAGCAAGGAAGAGCUUUGUGCCCCAGCUGUCCCCAGGGCUGGCCUCAUUGCAGCAAUCUGGGUUGUCCCGGACAGGGAAGAAGUCAAAAGCACAGCAUUUGUUUGAUAAGCUCAGGUUUGUUUGCAAAGGGAGAGAUGCCAACUUGUCAAAUGCCACUGCAUUGCUGAAAGGACUUACAAAGAAAUGUUGUCUGUGAAUAUUUGAGAAAGAAAGUAUUCUGCACUGGGAAGUCCCUGGAUGUGCUGUGACAUGAAGUUCUGACUUCACAUGGGCUGCAAUUGGGUUGCUGUUGUUUUCCUUCAGUGUGAGGCAGCUUUUAAAAGGUCCCGGGGAGAUGCUUUACCUUUACAUGCCCAUCUCCUGGGAUUUUUAAGAUAAACAUGCCCACUUUUUGCUGUUGCUGUCUCUCAGCUUCUUCAGAAGAGGUAAGCAAGCAGCUGCCAUUAUUGCCAACAAGACCCAGAAGGGAGGGGAAGGAACUGCCUGUAUGAUGGGUGUAGCAAGAGCUGUGGCUGUGCUGAGCUGACUGGCAAAUGCUUUUUCCAGCGUUGUGUCCCAGGGCAGGCUGGGAAGCUGGAGGUAGGAUUUGGUGUGGGAAUUAUGAAGUGUGUGGGGUAGUGACGAUAGGCAGAUAACAGCUUCUGGUGGUAAUACCAGGGCAUGGAAUGGAGGCUAAAACCAGCAAAAGCCUUCUCCGUUUAACCAGAGCUCGGUAAAAGAGAUCGGUGCCAGCCCAGCAUCAAGCAGCACCUGAUAGAUUACCUCUGAUUGCUUCUCAGGGUUCAGCAUUGCUGUUCUCUAAGGUAGCCAAGCGUUAGGAAAGCAUUUGGAUGUUGGCUCAGGAGCUGACAAGGGUUCUGCUGGUGGAGCUGCAAAAGACGAAGGGA
rnacentral:lncRNA from 7 species